AUGGCAAUUUUCUUGAUCAUUUGUUUUGCGUUAUUUUCACAUACAUGGGAAUUUUAUUACGCACAACACGGCAAUUUUGGUAAAAACACCAUGGCAAAUUUGAACAUGCAUUUGGCAUGGCAAUUUUUGAUCAUCUUUUGUAAUAUUUCACAUUCUUGGAAAUUUUCUUUCAUGGCCAAUUUGAUUAAAAAACACGACACAUUUGAAUAUGCAUUUUGCCAUGGCAAUUCUCUUGAUCAUUUAUUCUGGGUUAUAUUCACAUACACGGCAUUUAUAUUACGCACAAGAUGGCGAUUUUGGUAA
rnacentral:rRNA from 1 species